AAGAGUAUUUUUAAGUUAGCAUAUAUGGAUAAAUAUUAAAAGUAUCCGCAGCGAUAUGCAAUUUUGAAGUUAAAAUGGAAGGAAGGAACUCGGCAAAUCUUAGCUUCGCCUGUUUAUCAAAAACAUGGCUCUCUGUUACUUUAAUAUAGGGAGUCGGACCUGCCCAGUGAAAUUUUUUAACGGCCGCGGUACCCUGACCGUGCAAAGGUAGCAUAAUCAUUUGCCUUAUAAUUGAAGGCUUGUAUGAAUGGUUUGACGGGAGCAUUGCUGUCUCCCUCCCAGUAGAUAGAACUUGACCUUUAGGUGAAGAGGCCUAAAUAUAAUUGAAAGACAAGAAGACCCUGUCGAGCUUUAAAAUUAGAUUAGAGGGAAAUAUAAAAUAGCCUAAAUUUAUAGCUAAUUGGUUUUUUGGUUGGGGCGACCGAGGAACAGCAAGAGCUUCCUUUAUCUAAGCUGACUUAUAGGUAUUGAUCCAGCCUAAAGCUGAUUAAAAAAAUUAGUUACCGCAGGGAUAACAGCAUAAUCUCUCUUAAGAGACCAAAUCGAAAGAGGGGGUUGUGACCUCGAUGUUGGACUAGAAUAUCCUGAAGAUGCAAAU
rnacentral:rRNA from 1 species